rnacentral:rRNA from 1 species
GAUGAACGCUGGCGGCGUGCUUAACACAUGCAAGUCGAACGGCAAGGCCCUGCUUUUGUGGUUUGCUCGAGUGCCGAACGGGUGCGUAACACGUAAGUAACCUUCCCUUGACUUUGGGAUAACUUCACGAAACUGGGGCUAAUACCGGAUAGCAGCCCCCCCUCCAUGGUGGGCGUUGGAAAGUUUCGGCGGUUGUGGAUGGACUCGCGGCUUAUCAGCUUGUUGGUGGGGUAGUGGCUUACCAAGGCAUUGACGGGUAGCCGGCCUGAGAGGGUGACCGGCCACAUUGGGACUGAGGUACGGCCCAGACUGGAACGGGAGGCAGCGGUGGGGAAUAUUGAACAAUGGGCGGAAGCCUGAUGCAGCGACGCCGCGUGCGGGAUGACGGCCUUCGGGUUGUAAACCGCUUUCGCCUGUGACGAAGCGUUAGUGACGGUAAUGGGUAAAGAAGCACCGGCUAACUACGUG